rnacentral:rRNA from 1 species
UACGUAGGUGGCGAGCGUUAUCCGGAAUUAUUGGGCGUAAAGCGCGCGCAGGCGGUUUCUUAAGUCUGAUGUGAAAGCCCACGGCCUCAACCGUGGAGGGUCAUUGGAAACUGGGAGACUUGAGUGCAGAAGAGAAGAGUGGAAUUCCACGUGUAGCGGUGAAAUGCGUAGAUAUCAAGAGGAACACCUGAGGUGAAGACGGGUUGCUGGGCCAAACAACGUGACGCUGAGGCGCGAAAGCC